UGUCAGUUAUCCAGGAUUAACCAUAAAAUGGUUCGUUAUUAAUGUACAAAGGUUUUUCAGAAUCCUCCAUCGAAAGCAAUCCUUCCCUGUGUCUAGUAAAAUAUCUAUCAUUGCCUUUUCUAGUUUCAGGCUUCAUUUGUCCGCGGUAGGGGAUGGCUCCUUUGUUUGUUAUUUUACAAGUUAGCCAUUUUGCCGCCACAUGGCUACACCCCGCAAAUUAUUUUUUCAGAGGGAGUGUGUGGGGCCGCGCCUCCCUUACCAACUUAUUUGGUGGGCCAGGCCAGUACGGACCAGUUCCUGGGCCAGCAGUCGGAACUGGAUUGGCUAGACAGCCGGACGUAUUUCGGGAGCUACUCGGUUCCAGCGGUUCAAGCACCUGGGAGAGCUCACAAGUCAAGAGGAAAAUGGAUGACGAUUCCGAUAUCUUUGAUGAAAUGUGGCUGGAAAGUGUGGUCAUUGCGGGCUUCCGAGUGUGGCACAUUAUCGCUGCCGUUCUGGGCGUCCUCCUCCUAAUAAUGAUUAUGGUAUGCUGCUGCAUUCGAUUCCGUAUUCCGCGCACCAAGCAGGAAAUCGAGGCUGACUACCAACGCAAGCAGAUCACAAAGAAGUUCCGCGAGAAGCUGCAGCAGAUCAAGAACUCCGAAAUGGACGACAUGGACCUGCAGAAGGCACUUGCUUAUAUCAAAUUGGAACAGUACGAUGAUCCCUAGGGGCUCUGUAAAUUCACCCGCACCCUGUACAAACUAUCGGAAGUACUUAAGCAGAAAACUCUCUAUCGCAAAGAACACUGCCGCUUUUGUGCCCGCAUCCAGAGCGACUAUCUGAGUUUCCAGGCCAGCAUGGAGAGCAUGAACGCGAAGCAGAAUGUUAAGUUUAAGAUCUAAGUGCCUUUUAUAGGAUUGUGCAGCGAAGAUGGUGCAUACUUAAGCGAAAUAUUAGUAACCUUAUAUCUAAUCUAAUGCAAUUAAAAGCUAAUAAGCUAGAAAAUAAAGUGUAUUCGUGCGCUUAUAUCUAGAGA